rnacentral:rRNA from 1 species
AGCCUGAACGCUGGCGGCGUGGCUAAGACAUGCAAGUCGUACGGGUGUAGCAAUACACCAGUGGCGGACGGGUGAGUAAUGUAUCGCUAACGUGCCCUUCAGUUCGGGAUAGCCGAGGGAAACUUCGGGUAAUACCGGUUGACAUCACGAGCAGGCAUCUGCUUGUGCUCAAAGGCGUAAGCCGCUGAAGGAGCGGGCGAUAUCGUAUCAGCUAGUUGGCGGGUAACGGCCCACCAAGGCGACGACGCGUAGCCGGACUGAGAGGUUGGCCGGCCACAUUGGGACUGAGACACUGCCCAGACUCCUACGGGGGGCUGCAGUAACGAAUCUUCCGCAAUGCACGCAAGUGUGACGGAGCGACGCCGCGUGUGGGACGAAGCCCUCGGGGUGUAAACCACUGUCAGGGGAUAGAAAGUUCUGAUCAUCCCAGAGGAAGGCACGGCUAACUCUGUGCCAGCAGCCGCGGU